rnacentral:rRNA from 1 species
GAUGAACGCUGGCGGCGUGCCUAAUACAUGCAAGUCGAGCGAACGGACGAGAAGCUUGCUUCUCUGAUGUUAGCGGCGGACGGGUGAGUAACACGUGGAUAACCUACCUAUAAGACUGGGAUAACUUCGGGAAACCGGAGCUAAUACCGGAUAAUAUUUUGAACCGCAUGGUUCAAAAGUGAAAGACGGUCUUGCUGUCACUUAUAGAUGGAUCCGCGCUGCAUUAGCUAGUUGGUAAGGUAACGGCUUACCAAGGCAACGAUGCAUAGCCGACCUGAGAGGGUGAUCGGCCACACUGGAACUGAGACACGCUCCAGACUCCUACGGGAGGCCGCAGUAGGGAAUCUUCCGCAAUGGGCGAAAGCCUGACGGAGCAACGCCGCGUGAGUGAUGACGGUCUUCGGAUCGUAAAACUCUGUUAUUAGGGAAGAACAUAUGUGUAAGUAACUGUGCACAUCUUGACGGUACCUAAUCAGAAAGCCACGGCUAACUACGUG